UACGGGGGGGGCAAGCGUUGUUCGGAAUUACUGGGCGUAAAGGGCUCGUAGGCGGCCAACUAAGUCAGACGUGAAAUCCCUCGGCUUAACCGGGGAACUGCGUCUGAUACUGGAUGGCUUGAGGUUGGGAGAGGGAUGCGGAAUUCCAGGUGUAGCGGUGAAAUGCGUAGAUAUCUGGAGGAACACCGGUGGCGAAGGCGGCAUCCUGGACCAAUUCUGACGCUGAGACGCGAAAGCGCGGGGAGCGAACGGG
rnacentral:rRNA from 1 species